rnacentral:rRNA from 1 species
CCUACGGGUGGCAGCAGUGGGGAAUAUUGGGCAAUGGGCGCAAGCCUGACCCAGCAACGCCGCGUGAAGGAAGAAGGCUUUCGGGUUGUAAACGUCGUGUAAGAGGGAAGAGCAGAAGACGGUACCUCUUGAAUAAGCCACGGCUAACGACGUGCCAGCAGCCGCGGUAAUACGUAGGUGGCAAGCGUUGUCCGGAGUUACUGGGUGUAAAGGGCGUGCAGCCGGGAAGACAAGUCAGAUGUGAAAUCCCGCGGCUCAACCGCGGAACUGCAUUUGAAACUGUUUUUCUUGAGUACCGGAGCGGUCAUCGUCAUUCCUUUUGUAGCGGUGUACUGCGUAGCUAUCCGGAAGAACACCAGUGGCGACGGCGGCUGACUGGACGGCAACUGACGGUGCGGCGCGAAAGCGUGGGGAGCAAACCGGCUUCGAUACCCGGGUAGUC